AAUAUUGGACAAUGGGGGGAACCCUGAUCCAGCCAUUCCCCGUGUGUGAAGAAGGUCUUCGGAUUGUAAAGCACUUUAAGUUGGGUGGAAGAGUUGUAGUCUCAUACCUUGCAAUUUUGACGUUACCAACAGAAUAAGCACCGGCUCACUUCGUGCCUGCCGCCGCGGUAAUACGAAGGGUCCAAGCGUUAAUCGGAAUUACUGGGCGUAAAGCGCGCGGAGGUGGUUCGUUAAGUUGGAAGUGAAAGCACCGGGCUUAACCUGGGAAUUGCUUUCAAAACUGACGAGCUAGAGUACGGUAGAGGGUAGUGGAAUUUCCUGUGUAGCGGUGAAAUGCGUAGAUAUAGGAAGGAACAUCAGUGGCGAAGGCGACUACCUGGACUGAUACUGACACUGAGGUGCGAAAGCGUGGGGAGCAAACAGG
rnacentral:rRNA from 1 species